UAUGGAACUCACUUAUCUGCUGAUCUGGCACUGGGAAAUUUACUUGUCCUUACUGAAUUAAAGUUUCUUCAUCUGUCAUCGAAAGAGGCCAACUCUUUCCUUGGACUCAUUGGGCAGAGUAAAUAUCACGCCGGAAUCGUAAUAAUAACAGCAAUUCUGCCUCAGGUUAUCGAGAGAGAGUCUUCUACCUGAAGAUGAAAGCUGGGAUGUCGUCUUCUUGAAUUUUAAGUCAUACCUCAGGCCUCAUAAAUGGGCUCUUCUCUUGGGUUUUAUCCUAUGACCCUAUUUUGUUCACCCACCUAGGACCUGGAUUUGGAGCUCUUACAUAAGCCAGAAGACAGUAAGCUAACAGCCCUGGUGAGCUCCUUCCCACCUGCUGACCUACCUCACUGCUCUAAGAUUGUUGCUGGUAACUUCUGAGGAUUGUGCCUAGUUAUUACCAUAUUCUUUGGGAACUGGACUUUGCCUGCCGAUGGGAACUUUUUCUUGACUUCUGUAGUCUGGCCAAUUUCCCCAGCACAUGUCUCACCUAGUGGGUGGGUUUAACCUCAGGACUACUGUCUAUGCCAGUAACAUUGUCUUCUUCUGGAAGAAAUUGGACAAUGCAUGACUGAGUCCCAGGAUAUGAAAGCACAGGCCCUUGGCAAGAUAGUAAGAGAGUGGAUUAAUUUCUAACAAUAAGAAUAUAACAGAACGAUAAUCAUCAUUUAUGGAAGAAUUCUUAGAUUAUGCAACAUUAAUUGAGGAGACAUACAAUAGUGUGAGAGAACAGAGGAGACGCAUCAAUCCAGAGCCGGGAUCAGGGACGACUUUCCCAGAGAAAGCAAUUGCCAAACUAAAAGCUGAAGUCUAAGCAUAAAGCAGUAGAGGGAAGGAGAUGAAUGGAGUAACUGCAAGACAAGCAAAAGGGCCAGCAUUAAAAGAGAAUAUUGGGGGAAAGCUCAAUACAGUGGCCUCUCUGGAAAACAGUUUGGAAAGCAGUUUCUUAAAAAGUUUAACAUACACUUAUCAUUACAAUCUAG
rnacentral:lncRNA from 1 species